AACUAUGCCUGAGUAGGAUGAAGCCGGAGGAAACUCUGGUGGAGGUCCGAAGCGUUUUUGACGUGCAAAUCAAUCGUCAGACUUGGGUAUAGGGGCGAAAGACUAAUCGAACCAUCUAGUAGCUGGUUCCCUUCGAAGUUUCCCCCAGGAAAGCUGGUGCCAUGUUUGACAGUUUUAUCUGGUAAAGCGAAUGAUUAGAGGCAUUGGGGACGAAUUGUCCUCGACCUAUUCUCAAACUUUAAAUGGGUAAUGUACCGUUGUACUUCUUGAUAUUCAUGAGUGCUCGGUCAAAUGCAAUGGCGCCAAGUGGGCCAUUUUUGGUAAGCAGAACUGGCGAUGUGGGAUGAACCAAACGUUGAGCUAGGAUGCCCAAAGUGCUUCUCAUGAGAUACCAUGAAAGGUGUCAGUCGAUAUUGACAGCAGGACGGUGGCCGCAGAAGUAGGAAUCCGCUAAGGAGUGUGUAACAACUCACCUGCCGAAUCGACUGGUCCUGAAAAUGGAUGGCGCUGGAGACGUAUAUCCAUGCUCGACCGUCAAUGCCAACGAAAGCGAUUGCUAUAUGGCUUGACGUGUAGAAGGGCGAUUGCCGUGGCGUCGAAACUUGCACCGUGAGGUGGGGUAGAGCUGCGGCAUGUGCAGAUCUUGGUGGUAGUAGCAAGUAUUCAAAUGAGAGCAUUGAAGACUGAAGUGGAGUAAGGUUCCAUGUGAACAGCAUUUGGACAUGGAUCAGCCGAUCCUAAGAGAACGUGUAAGUUCGUGAUUAAGCGCGUCGCCUUGUGCGUCGCAAUCGAAAGGGAAUCGGGUUAAUAUUCCCGAGCCAGGAUACGGAAUGUGCCUGAUUCAUCGGAAGUACCUUGUGUGCUUUCGACUUCAGGCAAAAGCGGCAACGCCAACAAACCCAGAGAUUAACUAUGCGGAGUCCGGGGAAGAGUUUUCUCUUCUUUGUAAGGGAUGUUAUCCCUGGAAACAGAUUGUCUGGCGAUAGGGUACGCAUCCCGUAAUGCAACGCGAUUCCUGCGAUGUACCGUGCGCUUCGUAUAGUGCUUGAAAAUCUGGGGGCGAGUUUGUUCAGGCCGUACCUGUUCGUACUGAUUUCCGCAGCAGGUCUCCAAGGUGAGCAGCCUCUAGUCGAUGGGACAAAGUAGACAAGGGAAGUCGGCAAAUUAGAUCCGUAACUUCGGAAAAAGGAUUGGCUCUAAAGGCUGAGUUGGUCGGGCGGUUGCGUGAAGCUGGGAGCGACGCUUUGACUCUGUCUCAGACUCCGUUCUCGCAAGGGAUGCGGAAUCGAGGACGGAACUUUGUCUACGCUCUCUGUGGACCGCGGUCGCUAUGCCACCCGUGCGGCAUCUAAACGUAAGUCUUGAGUCGUGCGACGUGGAUCCGAUCAGCGUUUAACAGCUGACCUAGAACUGGUAUGGACAAGGGGAAUCCAACUGUUUAAUUAAAACAAAGCAUUGCGAUAGCUGUAAUCGGUGUUGACGCGAUGUGAUUUCUGCCCAGUGCUCUGAAUGUUAAAGUGAAGGAACUCAUCCAAGCGCGAGUUAACGGCGGAAGUAACUAUGACUUUCUUAAGGUAGCCAAAUGCCUCGUCAUCUAAUUAGUGACGUGCAUGAAUGGAUUAUUGAGAUUCCUUCUGUCCCUGUCUGCAACCUAGCGAAACCACAGCCAAGGGAACGGGCUUGGAGAGUAACAGCGGGGAAAGAAGACCCUGUUGAGCUUGACUCUAGUCAGUCUUUGUGAAGAAACAUGAUGGGUGUAGAAUAGGUGGGAGGACGCGACAGUGAAAUACCACUACUAUCAUCGUUUCUUUACUUACUCAAUUGAUCAGGGAGCGUGAAUUCGCUAUUUGCGAUGUAUGAUUAUUCCUCUAGUGGAAUAAGUGUCUGGUUUGAGAACACAGACUGAUUGGGAGUUUGACUGGGGCGGUACAUCUGUUAAAAUCUAACGCAGGUGUCCUAAGGCAAUCUCAGCGUGGACAGAAACCUCGCAUAGAGCGAAAGGGCAAAAGAUUGCUUGAUCUUGAUUUUCAGUACGAAUAAAGACAAUGAAAGUUUGGCUUGUCGAUCCUUUUGAAUUUUACGAGUUUUAAGCAAGAGGUGUCAGAAAAGUUACCACAGGGAUAACUGGCU
rnacentral:rRNA from 1 species